AUUCGCUAUCAUAACGUCAAUUAAAUGUUAACCAGGGGUGCAACGGAUCAAAAAACUCAAGGUUCGGAUCGUUCCUCGGAUCAGAGUCACGGAUCGGAUCAUUUUUCGGAUCAGCAAAAAAAAAAAAAAAAAAUAGCGUUUGUGAUUGCUUUAGCCCGGUCUGAUUGUGGAGGAAGGGGCUGCUUAAAUGCCGCGGUGAUGAGCAGUUGUUGAGCCGCUUUCGGUUUCACUCCCGUCAGUGAAACACCGGGGUGAUGUCGCUGUAAAUGCGUGGCCAUGCUCGAUGUGUUUUUCUUUAUGUUAGCAAUCGCUAUGUCAGCUACGUGUUACGUCUGUGUGGUAACCUAGGCGACAGGUUUGUGUGGCAGCGCGAGUAUAUGGAAACAGACGUAGCACUGGAGGCAGCAGUUAUCGUUACAGUAGUCACCGAAGUCUAGCCUACUUUUAUUUUCCAUGCCCACUGUUCUUCAUGUUGUACGCUGAGGACAAUAAAUCACAACGAGCCAUA